GACGAACGCUGGCGGCGUGCUUAACACAUGCAAGUCGAACGGAAAGGCCCUGCUUUUGUGGGGUGCUCGAGUGGCGAACGGGUGAGUAACACGUGAGUAACCUGCCCUUGACUUUGGGAUAACUUCAGGAAACUGGGGCUAAUACCGGAUAGGAGCUCCUGCUGCAUGGUGGGGGUUGGAAAGUUUCGGCGGUUGGGGAUGGACUCGCGGCUUAUCAGCUUGUUGGUGGGGUAGUGGCUUACCAAGGCUUUGACGGGUAGCCGGCCUGAGAGGGUGACCGGCCACAUUGGGACGGAGAUACGGCCCAGACUCCUACGGGAGGCAGCAGUGGGGAAUAUUGCACAAUGGGCGGAAGCCUGAUGCAGCAACGCCGCGUGCGGGAUGACGGCCUUCGGGUGGUAAACCGCUUUCGCCUGUGACGAAGCGUGAGUGACGGGAAUGGGUAAAGAAGCACCGGCUAACUACGU
rnacentral:rRNA from 1 species